GGCAAGGUGGCCGAGUGGUCUAAGGCGCAUGACUCAAGCGCUAAGAAGUGCUUAACCUUGAUAGAGGUUCCUUCCUUCAAAGAAAUAUCUUGAAGAUUUCAUGUGGAGCAAUCCGCGCGAGUUCGAAUCUCGCCCUUGUCA
rnacentral:tRNA from 1 species